GGGCCCGCACAAGCAGUGGAGCAUGUGGUUUAAUUCGAUGCAACGCGAAGAACCUUACCAGGCCUUGACAUCCUGCGAAUUUCUGGGAAACCGGAAAGUGCCUUCGGGAGCGCAGUGACAGGUGGUGCAUGGCUGUCGUCAGCUCGUGUCGUGAGAUGUUGGGUUAAGUCCCGCAACGAGCGCAACCCACGUCUUUAGUUGCCAGCAUUUAGUUGGGCACUCUAGAGAGACCGCCGGUGAUAAACCGGAGGAAGGUGUGGAUGACGUCAAGUCAUCAUGCCCCUUACAUCCUGGGCUACACACGUACUACAAUGCUACGGACAAAGGGCAGCAAACUCGCGAGAGCUAGCAAAUCCCAUAAACCGUGGCUCAGUUCAGAUCGUAGGCUGCAACUCGCCUACGUGAAGGAGGAAUCGCUAGUAAUCG
rnacentral:rRNA from 1 species